GCAUCGGUAGCUCAGCAGGAACAACAGAGCGCAGGCGUCCGAAGCCUGAGGCCGCGAGUUCGAAUCUCGCCCGAUGCA
rnacentral:tRNA from 2 species